UCCGUUGAAAACCACAUAACCUAAAAGGAAACUUCAUACCAACCUCACCCUCUCGCUUCUUUACCACCCUCAUGCCCACUGCAUUCCAUACCUCCGCCUCCUCCACGACUGCUCCUCCAUGCCUCCACCUCCACCUCCACCUCUUCCGCAACUGCUCCUCAUCAUCAGAUUGUUGAUGAGUGGAUGGCCAAGAUCAGUUUUUUUCUUUCUUGCUAGAUGGGUCAAAGGUGCAAUUUGAAUGUGUCCAAGAUCUGUCUUUUUUCUUUCUUGCUAGAUGGGUAUAAGUGAUUCUGUUCAUCACAAUCUAUAUCAUCUGUUUUUCUCUAGGUUGUUUUUUUUGCCAAAAUUUGGUGUAUUUGAUCUGCUAUUGACAACUGAAGGGAUGAAUAGUUCAUGGCGUGAGAUUUAUUGAA